rnacentral:lncRNA from 1 species
AUGCCCAGCUGCCGGUUUGGGAUUGCUCUGGGGUUCACGGAGCCGGGCUGCAAAACCAAUCGGUACUGCGUGCUUCUGGCAGCCAAGCGUCCGGCAGGGCCUUUCCCCAUCCCCCUCCGUGCAUUAAUAGCUUUUUUCUUUUUUUUUUUUCUCCUCCUUAGCUUUAGUAGGAAAAAAUGCUCCCUGCUGUGUUUGUUUCCCGGCAGCAUCCUGCUCCAGCAACCCGGCCCCGGUGCUGGGUGCCGAGCGCUCGAGUUCCUGGGAAAGGCGGCGCCGGGAUGCCCCCGGGCAGCAGCAGACAUCGGCACACGCGGAACCGCUCGAGCCGAGAAGGGCAGGAAAAGGGCCCUCGGCCCACGCAUCCCGUUCAGCCUCGUGCCUCUAAUCCAGGUCGGGCUCGCGAAAAGAAUUAAACUCCACACUGAAGUGGUAAAAUUAGGAAUUAUAUGGGGGGAAAAAAAAACAAACUGGAACCUGAUUCUCGCAGAAAGCAGAAAUUCCUUCCCGAUGCCACGCGAGCGGGAGCGUUUUUGGGAGGUGCUGGCUGAUGAAGCCAGGGGAGGGGGCGGUAUUUCGGUGUCCCUCGAUUCUUAUUUAUUUAUUUUGCAGGGCAACCAGGUCCCUUGUGCGGCUGCCGUGACUGAUGGAGCUUCCCGUGGUGCUGCUUCGCACUCGCUGGGGAUCUGGCCGUUGACCCAAAAAGUGUUUUUAAAAGGGAAAAUAGCACCCUCGUCCCUGGGCUGGUGGGACAUUUUGCAAGUUAUAUUUGCGACUACUCCCUUUUGGCAUUUUUGGGGGGAGGGGGAGAAAAAAAAAAGGAAAAGGAGCCAUAUCAUGGGCUGUCUUGGUGCUCCAGCUUACCCAGAUUUUUACACCAGAGUAAACUGGACUCCUCGAGGGUUGCUGCCGCCUCCAAACGCCCCAGCUGGGUGCGCAAGUGGGAGCUCAGCGUUGGCGCCCAGCGUUUCCGGUAGCUGCGUAGAGCAGAGCGAGCCACUAUCAAUUAUAGGAAGUUAUUUAAGGAAAGACGCAGCUUUUCCCUUGCUCAGCUCUCUGAGCUCGUUCCCGCUUGGCGGGAGGGCAGCGGCGGUUUCCAGCUUUAGCAAUAAUGACUUCUCUUCUUUGGAGUUUUUGUGCCCCUUCAAAGUCAGUCUGUGUUCACCCUGGAGCAGAACGAGGGCAGGAUGA